CCUACGGGUGGCAGCAGUGAGGAAUAUUGGUCAAUGGCCGAGAGUCUGAACCAGCCAAGUCGCGUGAGGGAAGAAUGUCCUACGGAUUGUAAACCUCUUUUGUCGGGGAGCAAAACGGCUCUGCGGAGUCGUAUUGAGCGUACCCGAAGAACAAGCAUCGGCUAACUCCGUGCCAGCAGCCGCGGUAAUACGGAGGAUGCGAGCGUUAUCCGGAUUUAUUGGGUUUAAAGGGUGCGCAGGAGGCGUGUCAAGCAAGCGGUAAAAUAGCGGGGCUCAACCCCGGCGAGCCGUGUGAACUGGCGCGCUGGAGUGCAGGCGAGGUAGGCGGAAUUCGGGGUGUAGCGGUGAAAUGCAUAGAUAUCACGAAGAACUCAGAUUGCGAAGGCAGCUUACUAGGCUGCGACUGACGCUCAGGCACGAAAGUGUGGGUAUCGAACAGGAUUAGAUACCCGUGUAGUC
rnacentral:rRNA from 1 species